AAAUGUCAAUUUUUUGUGCGUUCCACAUAUUAGGUAUAGCUAUGUUUAUUAAUUUAUUUCAUUGUUAAAAGGUACAAAUACAGGCAUCAUGUU